rnacentral:rRNA from 1 species
GACGAACCGUGCGAACGUUAUUCGGAAUCACUGGGCUUAAAGCGCGUGUAGGCGGGUCGGUGCGUCGGCCGCUGAAAUCCCCCGGCUCAACCGGGGAAGGGGCGCCGAUACGACCGGCCUGGAGCGACGUAGGGGGGACUGGAACUUCCGGUGGAGCGGUGAAAUGCGUUGAGAUCGGAAGGAACGCCCGUGGCGAAAGCGAGUCCCUGGACGUCGGCUGACGCUGAGACGCGAAAGCGUGGGGAGCAAACAGG